rnacentral:rRNA from 1 species
UGCGUAGGUGGUCUGAUAAGUCAGAAGUGAAAGGCUACGGCUUAACCGUAGUAAGCUUCUGAAACUGUUGGACUUGAGUGCAGGAGAGGAAAGUGGAAUUCCUAGUGUAGCGGUGAAAUGCGUAGAUAUUAGGAGGAACACCAGUGGCGAAGGCGACUUUCUGGACUGUAACUGACACUGAGGCACGAAAGCGUGGGGAGCGAACA